rnacentral:piRNA from 1 species
UGAAUGUGGGGAUACUGCUAUUGACAAUAGU